rnacentral:rRNA from 1 species
UACGUAGGGUGCAAGCGUUGUCCGGAAUUAUUGGGCGUAAAGAGCUCGUAGGCGCUUGUCGCGUCGGCUGUGAAAACCUGGGGCUCAACCCCGGGCCUGCAGCCGAUACGGGCAAGCUAGAAUUCGGUAGGGGAGACUGGAAUUCCUGGUGUAGCGGUGAAAUGCGCAGAUAUCAGGAAGAACACCCGUGGCGAAAGCGGCUCUCUGGAACGGUACUGACGCUGAGACGCGGAAAGCGUGGGGAGCAAACGGG